rnacentral:rRNA from 1 species
UGGGGAAUAUUGGGCAAUGGGCGCAAGCCUGACCCAGCAACGCCGCGUGAAGGAAGAAGGCUUUCGGGUUGUAAACUUCUUUUAAGGGGGAAGAGAAGAAGACGGUACCCCUAGAAUAAGCCACGGCUAACUACGUGCCAGCAGCCGCGGUAAUACGUAGGGAGCGAGCGUUGUCCGGAAUGAUUGGGCGUAAAGGGCGCGUAGGCGGCCUGUUAAGUCUGGAGUGAAAGUCCUGCUUUUAAGGUGGGAAUUGCUUUGGAUACUGAUGGGCUUGAGUGCAGGAGAGGUUAUCGGAAUUCCCGGUGUAGCGGUGAAAUGCGUAGAGAUCGGGAGGAACACCAGUGGCGAAGGCGGGUAACUGGACUGCAACUGACGCUGAGGCGCGAAAGUGUGGGGAGCAAACAGGAUUAGAUACCCUGGUAGU